AUUGAACGCUGGCGGCAGGCCUAACACAUGCAAGUCGAGCGGGGUUUUCGGACCUAGCGGCGGACGGGUGAGUAAUGCGUAGGAAGCUACCCGAUAGAGGGGGAUACCAGUUGGAAACGACUGUUAAUACCGCAUAAUGUCUACGGACCAAAGUGUGGGACCUUCGGGCCACAUGCUAGCGGCUGCGCCUGCGUGGGAUUAGCCAGUUGGUGGGGUAAUGGCUCACCAAGGCGACGAUCCCUGGCUGGUUUGAGAGGAUGAUCAGCCACACUGGAACUGAGACACGGUCCAGACUCCUACGGGAGGCAGCAGUGGGGAAUAUUGGACAAUGGGCGCAAGCCUGAUCCAGCCAUGCCGCGUGUGUGAAGAAGGCCUUCGGGUUGUAAAGCACUUUCAGUAGGGAGGAAGGGUGUUGUGUUAAUAGCACAGCAUUUUGACGUUACCUGCAGAAGAAGCACCGGCUAACUCUGUGCCAGCCGCCGCCGUAAGAC
rnacentral:rRNA from 1 species